rnacentral:rRNA from 1 species
UACGUAGGUGGCAAGCGUUGUCCGGAUUUACUGGGCGUAAAGAGCGCGCAGGCGGUCGUUCAAGUCGCGUGUGAAAGCCCCCGGCUCAACUGGGGAGGGUCACGCGAUACUGAUCGACUCGAAGGCAGGAGAGGGAAGUGGAAUUCCCGGUGUAGUGGUGAGAUGCGUAGAUAUCGGGAGGAACACCAGUGGCGAAGGCGACUUCCUGGCCUGUUCUUGACGCUGAGGCGCGAAAGCUAGGGGAGCGAACAGG